CCCUUAGAUGUUCUGGGCCGCACGCGCGCUACACUGAUGCAUUCAACGAGUCUAAAACCUGCUCUGAUAGGGGUGGGUAAUCUUUUGAAUGUGCAUCGUGAUUGGGAUAGAUGAUUGCAAUUUUUCAUCUUCAACGAGGAAUGCCUAGUAAACGCAAGUCAUCAGCUUGCAUUGAUUACGUCCCUGCCCUUUGUACACACCGCCCGUCGCUACUACCGAUUGAAUGGCUUAGUGAGCCUUUGGGAUUGGCAGCUUGUACCGGCAACGGUAGCAGGCAGCCGAAAACUUAGGCAAACUUGGUCAUUUAGAGGAAGUAAAAGUCGUAACA
rnacentral:rRNA from 1 species